ensembl:lncRNA
CACAGAAAGAAAUACAAGGGUCCCCUUCUAGUCCUGGGCUUCCUUGAUGGCUUAGAUGGCAAAGAAUCUGCCUGCAAUGCAGGAGACCUGGCUUCAAUCCCUGGAUGCUUUGACUCUGGGUGCCUUGCUGACCCUAGAGGGUCUGUCCCUCCCAGGGCUGCCAAGUCCUGGAGGCAGUAAACUCGGUAAAGGCAGGAGCAUAACCUUCAUACACAAACUAACCAGCCCAGACAUGGACACCAUGUAUCCUCUAUCUGGCUCUCACACUCUGGACUGCUUUUCACCCACCCUGCUCACCCUGGCACCGGACAACCAGAGACAGCCCUCACACCCCAGAGACCUCUGAAAUGAUCCAAACCAGCCAGCCCCAGCCUGCUUACCUUGCUCCUCCUGUUCCUCCCCACAGAAACCACAACAAAGGUUAUUAUUGUCAUGUUCUCCUCCAAUUGCCUCUGCCUCCUGACUAAUCCCACUGCUCCCCCCACGGCAUCCAUGGUAUGCUGUGCCGUCUCGGGAAAUGAAACAGACUUUGUGCAUGAAACAA